rnacentral:rRNA from 1 species
AUGAAGAUGGCGACUUGCAUUUAUAAGGUGGCCUCGGAGGAGUUUGGAGUGUCUAGGGGAAGGAGAAGCGAAGAUAAGGAUACCUGGUGGUGGAAUGAUGAUGUCCAGAAGGCGAUUGAAGAGAAGAAAGAUUGUUUCAGACGCCAAUACCUGGAUAGGAGUGCAGACAACAUAGAGAAGUACAAGAUGCCGAAGAAGGCCGCAAAGCGAGCUGUUGGUGAAGCAAGGGGUCGGGCAUAUGAGGACCUCUACCAACGGUUAGGCACGAAGGAAGGUGAAAGGGACAUCUAUAAGAUGGCUAAGAUCCGGGAGAGGAAGACGAGGGAUAUUGGCCAAGUCAAAUGCAUCAAGGACGGAGCAGGCCAACUCUUGGUGAAGGACGAAGAGAUUAAGCAUAGAUGGCGGGAGUACUUCGACAAGCUGUUCAAUGGGGAGAAUGAGAGUUCUACCAUUGAACUGGACAACCCCUUUGAUGAGACCAGCAUGCGUUUUGUGCGGCGCAUCCAGGAGUCUGAGGUGAAGGAGGCUUUAAAAAGGAUGAAAGGAGGCAAGGCGAUGGGCCCUGAUUGUAUCCCCAUUGAGGUGUGGAAAGGUCUCGGGGACAUAGCGAUAGUAUGGCUAACCAAGCUUUUCAACCUCAUUUUUCGGGCAAACAAGAUGCCAGAAGAAUGGAGACGGAGUAUAUUAGUACCAAUCUUCAAGAACAAGGGGGAUGUUCAGAGUUGUACUAAUUACCAUGGAAUUAAGCUGAUGAGCCAUACAAUGAAGCUAUGGGAGAGAGUCAUUGAGCACCGCUUAAGAAGAAUGACAAGCGUGACCAAAAAUCAGUUUGGUUUCAUGCCUGGGAGGCCGACCAUGGAAGCCAUUUUCUUGGUACGACAACUUAUGGAGAGAUAUAGGGAGUAA